UACGGAGGGUGCAAGCGUUAUCCGGAUUCACUGGGUUUAAAGGGUGCGUAGGUGGGCAGGUAAGUCAGUGGUGAAAUCUCCGGGCUUAACCCGGAAACUGCCAUUGAUACUAUUUGUCUUGAAUACUGUGGAGGUCAGCGGAAUAUGUCAUGUAGCGGUGAAAUGCUUAGAUAUGGCAUAGAACACCAAUUGCGAAGGCGGCUGGCUACACAAAUAUUGACACUGAGGCACGAAAGCGUGGGGAUCAAACAGG
rnacentral:rRNA from 1 species